UGAAUGUCCGUACAGACGUGUGAGA
rnacentral:piRNA from 1 species